rnacentral:tRNA from 1 species
GCCCUCGUAGCUUAAUGGAUAAAGUGCUGGUCUUCGGAACCAGCGAUGGGGGUUCAAUUCCCUCCGAGGGUA